AAGAGCCUUGACUUCCCUUGUAUUCCCUCCUUGCGCCCAACGUGCGGCCGCUCCUGCGCCGAGCGCGGAGUCGCCUCAUUUGCCCAGGCCUCUCUAUCUGCAUGGAGGGCCGGGCCGCCGUGGCCAAAUCUGCGCACGGAGUACGGACGUGCCCGGGCAGAUGGGGGCCUACGGGGUGACACCGAGGCCGGGACAGCUUCACGGGCCCCAGGAGGACCUGACCCAGGAAUUGAGGUCCUCGCUGCCUUCUGAGGAGGGGGAGGAGUUGCUCCUAGGUCUGAACCCCGCCAGCCUUGCCCCGUAGGAAGCUGGAGUGCGGGCCUCGUCCACCCACAGACCCCGGGGAGCGCAGGGAAAAGGGUGCUUCGGUCGUUCCGAUGGCAGUGGAGACCACGGUCCACACUCACCUCUCUGCGUCUUGAGGAGCUGAGCAGAAGGCGGCUUCGGGCUGCGAACGGCUUCAGGGACCACCCACCCCUGCAGGCAAGGAGACGGAGGGCAGCCUCAGCGACUCGGAUUUUAAGGAGCCGCCCUCGGAGGGCCGCCUCGAAGCGCUGCAGGGCCCCCCCCGCACCGGCGGGCCCUCCCCGGCUGGGCCAGCGGCGGCGCGGCUGGCGGAGGACCCGGCCCCUCACUACCCCGCCGGAGCGCCGGCGCCCGGCCCGCAUCCAGCCGCGGGAGAGCUGCCCCCGGGUCCCGGCGGGCCCUCGGUUAUCCAUUCGCCGCCUCCGCCGCCGCCUCCUGCGGUGCUCGCCAAGCCCAAACUGUGGUCUUUGGCAGAGAUCGCCACAUCCUCGGACAAGGUCAAGGACGGGGGCGGCGGGAGCGAGGGCUCUCCAUGCCCACCGUGUCCCGGGCCCAUAGCCGGGCAAGCCCUAGGAGGCAGCCGUGCGUCGCCGGCCCCGGCGCCGUCGCGCUCGCCGUCGGCGCAGUGUCCUUUUCCAGGCGGGACGGUGCUGUCCCGGCCUCUCUACUACACCGCGCCCUUCUAUCCCGGCUACACGAACUAUGGCUCUUUCGGACACCUUCAUGGCCACCCGGGGCCCGGGCCAGGCCCCACAACCGGUCCGGGGUCUCAUUUCAAUGGAUUAAACCAGACCGUGUUGAACCGAGCGGACGCUUUGGCUAAAGACCCGAAAAUGUUGCGGAGCCAGUCUCAGCUAGACCUGUGCAAAGACUCUCCCUAUGAAUUGAAGAAAGGUAUGUCCGACAUUUAACGCGGGCUGCGUCGGUCCCGGACUUUUCUAAUUUAUUAAAAACAUGGCCUUGGCAGUUAUUUUUCCAUCACCGAGAGAGAGAGACAGAGAGAGAAAAUAAACUACCCCUCCUAUUCAGAAGUUUAUAGUUUAUGGAGAUGGAUGACAUAAAAAUGUAAACAUCUCCACACACAAAAAAAGUCUUAACCAACCG
rnacentral:sRNA from 1 species